rnacentral:rRNA from 1 species
CCCUUAGAUGUUCUGGGCCGCACGCGCGCUACACUGACGAUGGCAACGAGUUUUUCCUUCGCCGAAAGGUGUGGGUAAUCUUUUGAAACUUCGUCGUGCUGGGGAUAGAUCAUUGCAAUUUUUGAUCUUGAACGAGGAAUUCCUAGUAAGCGCGAGUCAUCAGCUCGCGUUGAUUACGUCCCUGCCCUUUGUACACACCGCCCGUCGCUACUACCGAUUGAAUGGUUUAGUGAGGACUCCUGAUUGGCGCCGCCGCCCCGGCAACGGAGCAGCGGACUGCCGAAAAGUUGUUCAAACUUGAUCAUUUAGAGGAAGUAAAAGUCGUAACA